GCUCACAUGCAGUCGAGCGGAACGACACUANCAGAUCCUUCGGGUGCAGUUAAUGGGCGUCGAGCGGCGGACGGGUGAGUAAUGCCUAGGAAAUUGCCUUGAUGUGGGGGAUAACCAUUGGAAACGAUGGCUAAUACCGCAUAAUGCCUACGGGCCAAAGAGGGGGAUCUUCGGACCUCUCGCGUCAAGAUAUGCCUAGGUGGGAUUAGCUAGUUGGUGAGGUAAUGGCUCACCAAGGCGACGAUCCCUAGCUGGUCUGAGAGGAUGAUCAGCCACACUGGAACUGAGACACGGUCCAGACUCMUACGGGAGGCAGCAGUGGGGAAUAUUGCACAAUGGGCGAAAGCCUGAUGCAGCCAUGCCGCGUGUAUGAAGAAGGCCUUCGGGUUGUAAAGUACUUUCAGUUGUGAGGAAGGGGGUAACGUUAAUAGCGUUAUCUCUUGACGUUAGCAACAGAAGAAGCACCGGCUAACUCCGUGCCAGCAGCCGCGGUAAUACGGAGGGUGCGAGCGUUAAUCGGAAUUACUGGGCGUAAAGCGCAUGCAGGUGGUUCAUUAAGUCAGAUGUGAAAGCCCGGGGCUCAACCUCGGAACUGCAUUUGAAACUGGUGAACUAGAGUGCUGUAGAGGGGGGUAGAAUUUCAGGUGUAGCGGUGAAAUGCGUAGAGAUCUG
rnacentral:rRNA from 1 species